rnacentral:sRNA from 1 species
UAGCUCCUUGGGGAUUCCACGUAUGAC